rnacentral:rRNA from 1 species
UUCCCAUUCCGAACACGAUGGUUAAGCUUCAACACGCUGAUGGUACUGCAUGGGUGACUGUGUGGGAGAGUAAGUCGUUGCCAGGU